CCAAUAGCGUAUAUUAAAGUUGUUGCAGUUAAAAAGCUCGUAGUUGAAUUUUGGAUUCUACCAAUUGGUCCAUCUUUUAGGUGAGUACUGGUUGUGUGGGGUCUAUCCGCCUGGUGAUACGUAAUGUCCUUUAUUGGAUGUUGCGGGUAGUCAGGACCUUUACCUUGAAAAAAUUAGAGUGUUUAAAGCAGGCUUAUGCCGGAAUACAUUAGCAUGGAAUAAUAGAAUAGGACGAAGUUGUUUUAUUUUGUUGGUUUCUAGGACAACCGUAAUGAUUAAUAGGGAUAGUUGGGGGCAUUAGUAUUCAAUUGUCAGAGGUGAAAUUCUUGGAUUUAUUGAAGACUAACUACUGCGAAAGCAUUUGCCAAGGAUGUUUUCAUUAAUCAAGAACGAAAGUUAGGGGAUCGAAGACGAUCAGAUACCGUCGUAGUCUUAACCAUAAACUAUGCCGACUAGGGAUCGGGCGAUGUUGUUUCCAUGACUCGCUCGGCACCUUAUG
rnacentral:rRNA from 1 species